CGUGGCCUUCAGAAGAGAAAAAAGAAGUAUGCAGACCCCUCUACCCGGGGCUGGAGAGGCCAGGCCUAAAAAGGAAUAAAGAGGUUCAUGAUUGUCCAGUUUUCUGUUGCCGGGAUAACAGAGCCAUGUCUUCAGAUUUAAAGAUCAUCUGGGACCUGACUGGGUCACCUACAGAGAAGAGACCAUGGCAGUGACAGAGGUCAUUUCACCAAGCCCUUUUGCUAUUGACCUGCUUCAAGAACUCCAGGAGGAUGGAGAAGAAGGGUGGGAACAAAAACACCUACCAUAUUGCCGAGCAAACUCUGGUCCCAGUUCCUUCUGCCAAGUCCCCACUGGGAAAACCUAAGGACAACAGUCCAACUAGAACUACUGGAAUUUGCUGGUUUCUUGGGUGGCCUUGCAAGACAUACUUCCCUAGGCAACCAUUUGCCAAGUCCAAAAUAUUGUCCCUGCGCCUCCCCAGUCCCCUGAAACUUAGAGGAGCCAGCCAAGGUCAGCCACAUGACUGGGAACUGAAGAGGUGAGCCCUGGACUGGGAGUCAAAGAUGAAAUCUUAAGCCCAACUUGGCUCUAGUCAGAUCAUUUCUGUAAGGUCCCUGUCAGCCCCAAAGUCUGAUUCUCUUGGUUAAAUGCCCUAUGCCAGGGGGCAUCUUCCCUGUGGAUGGAAGAAAUUUCUCAGGCUAAGAGCCUCUACCUCAGGUUAAGUUUAAAUGCUUCUUUCCUGUUCUUUCUGUCUAUCCAUGGAGUCUGAAUUCAAAAAGCAUUUCUUUACACUCACACCACCCACCAAAGGUGGGAUAUGAUUUUGUUUGCCUUUUAUUCCCUCAACUAACAAAGCAACUUAAUAUAGCUAAGAGUCAAUUAACGUUUAG
ensembl:lncRNA